GUUACGCCCCUGACUAGGCGUGGGUUUUCCGGUUCUGACUGAGAGUCACAGGCAACGUAAACAAGCGCUAUAUUUCUCUAUAAACGAUGGUGUCUGUACUGCCUUACCACUUCGAGCUCGAUCCAGAGAGUUCAGACGGCCGUUACGAUAUAAACGAUCUCCGUCAAUGAACGCGAAUGGAUUUAACUUUUUUAGGUGUCCUUAGUUCUGCCAGAAUGCUAAACGAAGACGAAAAUGUGUUGCAAAGACAUCCAAAAGGUUUUAAGGAGAAUGCAACAGGUUCCAGGGCCUCUUACCUGCGUGAUUCAUCAUCCAGGUUUUGCACAAAUUGUCUAAAUCCCUACACACAGAACAUUUAUUGUACCGACUAUAAGCCUUUGAGGUGCAGGACUAGACUAUCUAUUCAGAUAAAUGGCAUAUCAAAGCUUUGUCAGCUGGUGCUAUCUAAGACGACACUAUAAGGUUAUCAUCCUGUCGUGUGUUGUUCUCCAGAUAUGCUUGGAGCUUCCUGAUCAGAUCGGUCACAAUUUUGGCUUUCGACGACCCCUGCACUGAAGAUGGCAUGCAAUCACGUCCUCCUUUGAAGGUCUCUCAAACUGUGAUGCCAGGUCCAUUGGAAUCGGGGUUUCCUUCAGCUUAUCUUCAAAUACCUCAUCAAACACAAGCCUGAUCACAUCAUCCACAUAACUGUACAAAUAUUGCAGUCAAUAAAUCUUUUGUUUUGAUCAUUUAUUUC